rnacentral:rRNA from 1 species
GAUGAACGCUGGCGGCGUACUUAAUACAUGCAAGUCGAGCGAACAGAUGAGGAGCUUGCUCCUCUGACGUUAGCGGCGGACGGGUGAGUAACACGUGGAUAACCUACCUAUAAGACUGGGAUAACUUCGGGAAACCGGAGCUAAUACCGGAUAAUAUAUUGAACCGCAUGGUUCAAUAGUGAAAGACGGUUUUGCUGUCACUUAUAGAUGGAUCCGCGCCGCAUUAGCUAGUUGGUAAGGUAACGGCUUACCAAGGCGACGAUGCGUAGCCGACCUGAGAGGGUGAUCGGCCACACUGGAACUGAGACACGGUCCAGACUCCUACGGGAGGCAGCAGUAGGGAAUCUUCCGCAAUGGGCGUAAGCCUGACGGAGCAACGCCGCGUGAGUGAUGAAGGUCUUCGGAUCGUAAAACUCUGUUAUUAGGGAAGAACAAAUGUGUAAGUAACUAUGCACGUCUUGACGGUACCUAAUCAGAAAGCCACGGCUAACUACGUG